rnacentral:miRNA from 1 species
UCCAUGAUCCCUGAGUGCCUAGGU